rnacentral:rRNA from 1 species
CCUACGGGAGGCUGCAGUGGGGGAUAUUGCACAAUGGGGGAAACCCUGAUGCAGCGACGCCGCGUGUGGGAAGACGGUCCUCUGGAUUGUAACACACUGUCCCCAGGGACGAAGAUGACGGUACCUGGGGAGGAAGCUACGGCUAACUACGUGCCAGCAGCCGCGGUAAUACGGAGGGAGCGAGCGUUGUCCGUAAUUACUGGGUGUAAAGGGAGCGUAGGCGGGGAUGCAAGUUGGGUGUCAAAACUACCGGCUCAACUGGUAGUCGCACUCAAAACUGCAGCUCUUGAGUGAAGUAGAGGCAGGCGGAAGUCCUAGUGUAGCGGUGAAAUGCGUAGAUAUUAGGAGGAACACCAGUGGCGAAGGCGGCCUGCUGGGCUUUUACUGACGCUGAGGCUCGAAAGUGUGGGGAGCAAACAGGAUUAGAUACCCGAGUAGUC